rnacentral:tRNA from 1 species
AUAUUUUAAGGCCAUUGCCUUCUUAAUAUCUUCAAUAUUAUACUUUUAAAAUAAGCUAUUAAAAUA